GAUCGUGAUCUUUCCAGUCCGCUUGUAUUCUUCUGGAACUGCUUUCUCGCCAGACGUGGCGUCAAAGUCGACUUCAGGAUGUACUUGCUAUUCACCUUCUUCAGAGUCACAGCAAGUAGCAAAUGAAGUAUGUUAAGAGAAGCUUAAUAAGAAAUGACGUACUUCCUUCUAUAUAUGGUGUUAACGAAGGCGAACUCGACCAUCGCUGCAAAUAAAAAUAUAGUGCAGCCCAGGAACCAAAUCUCGCUGGCCUUUAUAUAGGAGACCUUCGCAACGACACCAAUCACGAUAUUCGGGCGCGAUUAUUACCCAGGACUAUUCGUGGCGCGCUCGCGUCCACGUGCAACCAAAAGGACACCCAAGAGAUCACCACAAUUAGUAUGGACGGAACGUAAUAAUCCAUCAUGAAGAAUCCCAUUUCACGAGCCAGUUUAAAUGUAAUAUUUAUCGAGCUAAAAUUGCCGGCUGCAACCGUCGUCAUGAUUAAUGAAAUUACGAUAUCCCGGAGCUGUUGACCCACGUGCCUACGAGCUUGUACUCCGUCAGGUAUAAGUUGCUCGCGAUGACGAUUGGCUCCUCAUCCCAGUCCAACACCAUCUCGUUCACGUUGUGGGUCCCUGUGGGGAGAAAUUCAUCCGGUUCAAUCCACCGCGCAACAGAGGCGAGCACAAGCGACAUUACAAUGUACAGCCUACUGACAACUCUCGAAGACCAGCGGGCACUCUUGCACGUCGAACGGGAACUUCUCCAAUCGAAGCCCGCAAUUCAUGGUGGCUUCUAGCCUGAAAUUCAAGCGAAGGUUCACCGUACACAUCGACCACUCGUUGGCGUGGUCGCUCCGCGAGAUUAAAAUGACACAGAUCUGCUUUGUGAUUUCCAUCGAGAUCGGGGAUAAGCGUCGGUGGUGUACCUUGUGUUCAACAUGACCAUGCCUUGAGGGUUGAUGGAGAUCAGCAGAUCUUUCACACCGCUCCCCAUCACGGCCGAGGUGCGUUCGUUCGCGACGUACACAGUCGGGGUCCAGAUCAAGUCAUGAGCUGAUUGUCCGCCGUAUAUUUGCGUCAAGUACAAGUAAAAGUGCGGGAAGGUACCAGAGUUUUCGCCAUGUUAGAUUUGAUCGUGUAAAUGAAAGCUUUGGUGUAAAUUUUGAUUGGGUCAGUGGCGUUCAUCACCCCCGGCGGCCUGACCAUCUUGUCGUAGCGGCACUCGUUCGCCAAUUCCUGCAGGAGUUCCGUCUGGGUCAUAGAGCUACCGAAUGAUGGACAAUUUCCCGAUCUGUGCAGAAUUUAUAAUUCGUCGCAACUCGCUCCAAUUGCAAAGUACGAAUCAUUUCGAGAAGGGAAGAGGGAACAAGAGGAAGAGGGAGAAGAAGAGUCGUGCACAAGAUUUCGCGAAACAAUUAUGUAAAAAUUUGUUUUCGCGACUGCGUCGCUCACGUGACGGAUUAUAUUUUCGCCGAGAGCAUUACGCACUCCGGGCGCACGUGCUUCGCACUUCGUAUAAACGCGCCAUCACAAAAGAACGCCGACUGUAUUAAGUUCUUAUCUGGCUGUUGUGUGCUACUUGAAUUUACAAUGUCGGGAAUAAUUCUCGCCAAAUAUCCUGUUUAUGUAAGAUAUGCAUAUUUACAUGCAUCUUUGUCUGGAGAAUUGUGUGUACUCGUCGAGAUUAGGAUUAAACUGUCUUGUGACGUUAUACCGUAUCAUAUGACACCCCGCGACUGCAUCGAACAAUAAACAUUUGCACAUUGGACCUUCGAUAGUUUUACACGUCGUGAUGGAGUUAGAAAAGAAAGAACAAAAAAAGGCAUCGGUUUCGUCUAUCUUCUGCCAAGAAAAUGCUUCUUCUUUCCAAUUAAGAUCGAGCGUGUCGUUGCGUAAACGCAAUUGACUCAAUGUAUCGCGCUAUUUUUCUUGAAUUUCCUCUCGAUUAACCUCGUUUACGGUGGCAAUUAUAAUUUCGCGAGUUCUUAGUUAAGACAUGACACAGUACGUCACAGCGCAAACGAGCGCGAUAAUGAUAAGGCGCGAUGAGAGAGAAAGAAGGAGAAAUCGACGAGAGGCAGGCAAGAAAUUAAAUUUUUGAACACCGCUAUUAUUUAGACAGAUGUAUAUCUCCCCGCGAUUCCGCGACGUAUGUUGCCGUCGACGAAACGCGGGUUCUCUUUCUGUCUCUCUUUCUUUCUAUCUUUCUUUCCCAAGUACAACGGCAAAUGAUAUCCGUUUACUUACAAGAAUAAUCGUUAAAUGACUUCUGUCCAAGCUGUCAUUCUCGGCCGAAAUUACGGCGCUGUUUCACGCAAAAAGAGCGACGAGCAAUUUUUGCGACGCGCAUGAAAAAAGCUCCCACGGGGAGAUAAUUUAUGGCGUUACUCCAGUUCAUUAAUACCGUUCGUUUAUUUACGUAUUUACGAGGACUCUGAAGGUCAAAUGUUACGCGCUAAUAAGUUCGAAAGCAGCCGUAAAAUUUUACCAAGGCUGGAAAUAAUAAUUAAACGAAUUUUAUCUCUUAUACGCCUAACGAUACACGUUUCCCUAAAUUUACUCGGAUGUGCGCGAGCGCGUUUUCGCCGGGGUCUCUUUUAUUUUCUCACGUAAAAUAUAUAUAUUUCUUAUUCGCGGGAAAACA
rnacentral:lncRNA from 1 species